rnacentral:misc_RNA from 1 species
UGGUUCUGGCAACGAUGAAGAACGCAGCAAAAUGCGAUAAAUAAUGUGAAUUGCAGAUUUCAGUGAAUCAUCGAGUUUUUGAACGCACAUUGCGCCCCCUGGUAUUCCGGGGGGCAUGCCUGUUCGAGCGUCAUUUCAACAAUCAAGCCCUGCUUGGUGGUGGGAGGUCGUCCCCGGGACGCCCCUUUAAACCGUGGGCGGUCACGUUGCUGCACCGAGCGUGGUAGAACUUUUCGCUCCUGGUGGCUUGACGUGGCCUGCCGGCCAUAUUUUAUUUUCAAAUGUUGACCUCGGAUCAGGCAGGGAUACCCGCUGA